rnacentral:lncRNA from 1 species
UAAAAGACUGUGGACUUAUUCCAGAUUAGAAGAAACUAAAGAGACAUAGCAAUUAAAUGAAAUAUUAUUACCCUGGAUUGAAUUCUUUGCAAUAUAGGAUAUUAUUGGGAAAUCGAUGACACUUGAAUUGAGGUCUGUGAUUUCAUAAUAGAAUAAUGUAUCAAUGCUAAUUUCCAGAUUGUGGUGGUUGUAGAGUAGCUAUGUGGGAAAAUGUCCUUGUUUUUAGUAAAAAUGCCCCAAGGAAUUCAGGGAUAAUGAGGAUUGUGUCAUCAAAUGGUUCAGGAAAAAAAAAAAAAAAAUGUUCCUUAUAGUAUUUAAAAAAAGGAGGGGGGGGCUUAAACCAAACUAACAUCAAUCUAAAUUAUGAUUUAAUCUAAAGUUUGGUCCUAUUAAAAACAAUUUUUUGUUGUUGUUGCAGGCGCGGCUCGGAUCCCGCGUUGCUGUGGCUCUGGCGCGUAGGCCGGUGGCUACAGCUCUGAUGCUACCCCUAGCCUGGAAACCUCCAUAUGCCGCGGGAGCGGCCCAAAGAAAUAGCAAAAAGACAAAAAAAAAAGAAAAAAAGAAACAAUGUAUCUCUCUGAUAAAUAUAAAAAAUGGUUAAAAUAAUAAAAAGAUAAAUAUAUAUAUUUUUAAAUACUGGAGAUUUGUGGAUUCAAACUAAAAAGAAACUCAGUUCCAGAAAGGAAUGAGCCCUUUUGAGGUGGGCAGAGACCAGAAGGAAAUUUCUUCCCUGGAAACACCUGCCAUGCCUUUUUUUCAGUGACUAGGGGAACUGGCUUGGCAUAGACAGAAUGGCUUUGAAUAGGAAAAGCCCAACAUAAACAGCCUCUUGGGCAGAUAUGAUGGUUUGGAAUCUGUGAAUCUCAAAAUGUAGUUCUACUCCCUGUUCACUGAAUAUUUCCCAAUGAAUAUUCACUAAGUGUAUGAGAGUGGAUUGGCACUUGGCUAGAUGAACAGAAUACACAGAGAAAUAUCUGUAGUUGCAAAGUUCUAAUAUUUCAAAUUUCUGCUAGUUGCUAGGUGAAAGGGGUUAUGUUAUACAUAAAGAGAGAACAGAUCCAUUCCCCCAAUGCAUUUGAAGUAAACAAGGAACUGAAACCAAUGAAAAUGGAAAGCGGAAUGUUGGAGCCCAAGUUGGGUUACGUGGUGGCAAUGCAAGUCACUAUGCAAAUAAAGACUCUUGGGAGGUUAUGCAUGGGUUAUCUCUGAGGUUCCCCCAGUGUUUAUCUGCACUCUUUUGCUGCAUUGUAUGCUUUGCCUUUAAAUAAAAGCUGUACUCAGUAUGUUAUUUUUUAAUUUUUAAAUUAUAGUUGAUUUACUGUGUUGUUCCUAUUUCUGCUGUACAGUGAAGUGGCCCAGUCAUACGUAUAUAUACAUUCUUUUUCUCAUAUCAUCCCCUCUCAUGUUCCAUCCCAAGAGACUGCACACAGUUUCCUGUUGCUAUACAGCAGGACCUCAUUGCUUAUCCAUUCUAAAUGUAAUAGUUUGCAUCUACCAAUAUCAAACUCCCUGUCUAUUCCACUCCCUUCCCUUUCCCCUUCCCCUUGGCAAGCACAAGUCUGUUCUCCAUGUCUGUGAGUCUGUUUCUGUUGUGUAGAUAGGUGUUCAUUUGUACCACAUUUUAGAUUCCACAUAUAAAUAAUAUGUUUGUCUUUUGCUUUCUGACUUCACUUAGUAUGAGAAUCUCUAAUUGCAGCCACGUUGCUGCAAAUGUCAUUAUUUCGUUCUUUUUUGUGGCUGAGUAGUAUGCAAUUGUGUAUAUGUAACACAUCUUCAUAACCUAUUCAUCUGUUGAUGGACAUUUAGGUGGUUUCCAUGUCUUGGCUAUUGUGAAUAGUCCUGCUAUGUGUCUGCUGGCCAUCCAUAUGUCUUCUUUGGAGAAAUGUUUAUUUAGGUCUUCUGCCCAUUUUUUGAUUGGGUUUUUGUUUGUCGUUGUUGAGUUGUAUGAGUUGUUUUAUAUUUCUCAUAAAUUAAGUCCUUGUCAGUUGCAUCAUUUGUAGGUUGUUUUCUUUUUUAUGGUUUGUUUCCUUUGCUGUGCGAAAGCUUGUGAGUUUGAUCAGGUCCCCUUUGUUUGUUUUUAUUUCUAUUGUCUUGGGAGACUGACCGAAGAAAACAUUUGUAUGGUUGAUGUCAGAGAAUGUUUUGCCUAUGUUCCCUUCUAGGGGUUUGGUGGUGUCUUAUGUUUAAGUCUUUAAGCCAUUUUGAGUUUAUUUUUGUGCAUGGUAUGAAGGUGUGUUUUAGUUUCAUUGAUUUAGCUGCAGCUGUCCAGUUUUCCCAGCACCACUUCCUGUCUUUUUCCCAUUUUAUAUUCUUGCCUCCUCUGUUGAAGAUUAAUUGACCAUAGUGGGUUUAUUUAUGUUCCAUUGAUCUGUAUGUCUGUUUUGGUACCAGUACCACACUGUCUUGAUUACUGUAGCUUUAUAAUAUUGUCUGAAGUCUGGGAGAGUUAUACUUCCUGCUUCCCCCGCCCCCCAUCCCCCAGGAUUGCUUUGGCAAUUCUGGGUCUUUUAUGGUUCCAUAUAAAUUUUUGGAUUAUUUAUUCUAAUUCUGUAAAAAAUGUCAUGGGUAAUUUGAUAUGGAUUACAGUAAAUCUGUAGACUGCUUUUGUUAGUAUGGCCAUUUUAAUGAUAUUAAUUUUCCCAAUCAGGAGCAUUGGAUAUCUUUCCAUUUCUUUGAAUCCUCUUUAAUUUCUUUGAUUAAUGUUUUACAGUUCUCAGCAUAUAAGUUUUUCACCUCCUUGGUCAGGUUUAUUCUUAGGUAUUUAAUUUGGGGGUGUGUGAUUUUAAAAAGUAUUGAUUUUUUAAUUUCUUUUCUAAUAUUUCAUUAUUAGGAUACAAAAAUGCAACUGAUUUCUGAACAUUAAUCUUAUAUCCUGCUACUUUGCUGAAUCCAUUGAUCAGACCAAGUAGUUUUUGUGUGGAGUCCUUAGGGUUUUCUAUAUAUAGUAUGAUGUUAUCUGCAUAUAGUGACAGUUUUUACCUCUUCUCAUCCAAUUUGCAUAGCUUUUAUUUCUUUUGUUUGCCUGAUUGCCAUGGCUAGACCUUCAAUACUAUGUUGAUUAAAAGUGAUGAGAAUGGGCAUCUUUGUCUUGUUUCAGAUUUUAGCUGGAAGGCUUUCAGCUUUUCUCCAUUGAGUGUUAUAUUGUCUAUGGGUUUGUCAUAAAUGGCUUUUAUUAUGUUAAGGUGUGUUCCCUCUAUACACACUUUGGUAAGUUUUUAUCAUGAAUAGAUGUUGGAUUUUGUCAAUUGUGUUUUCUGCAUCUAUUGAGAUGGUCAUGUGGUUUUUGACUUUCGUUAAUGUGUUGUAUUAAAUUGAUUGAUUUGCAGAUGUUGAACCAUCCGUGAACUUGGGAUGAAUCCUACUUGGUCGCAGUGUAUGAUCUUUUUUAUGUGUUGUUGGAUUUGGGUGGCUAAAAUUUUGUUGAGGAUUUUUGCUUUUAUAUUUAUCAGCAAUCUUGGCCUAUAAUUUUCUUUUUGUAGUAUCUUUGUCUCGUUUUGGUAUUAGGGUGAUGGUAGCUUCAUAGAAUGUUUUUGGGAAUGUUCCUUCUUCCUCAUUCUUUUGGAAAAGUUUAGGAAGAAUGGGUAUAUGUUCUUCAUAUGUUUGGUAGAAUUCACCUGUGAAGCCAUCUGGUCCUGGACUAUUGUUUGUGAGGAGUGUUUUUAUUAAAUAUUCAAUUUCAUAUCUAGUGAUCGGUCUGUUCAGAUUAUUUAUUUCUUCUUGAUUCAGUUUUGGUGGGCUGUAUGUCUCUAGAAAGUUGUCCAUUUCUUCUAGGUUGUUAAAUUUGUUGGCGUAUAAUUGUUCAUAGUAUUGUCUAAUGGUUUUUUGUAUUUCUGCAGUAUCAGUUGAGAUUUCUCCUUUUUAAUUUCUUAUUUUAUUUGUAGUCUCUCUUCUUGGUGAGUCUGGCCAGAGGUUUGUUAAUUUUGUUUACCCUUUCAAAGAACCAGCUCUUUGAUUUUUUUUCUGUUUUUUAAUCUCUAUUUUAUUAGUUUCCCCUGAUCUUUAUGAUUUCCUUUCUUUUGCUGACUUUUGGUUUGUUUAUUUUUCUUUCUCUAAUUCUUUUAGAUGGUAGGUUAGGUUGUUGAUUUGAGAUUUUUCUUCUGUUUUGAGGAAGGCCUGUAUUGCUGUGAACUUAACCUCUAAGAACUGUUUUUGCAGCAUCCCAUAGAUUUUGAAUGGUUGUGUUACUCAGUAUGUUCUAUGAGUAAUUAUGCUCCAUUAAGAAUAAGUAUGUUCUAAGAAGUCUGGUGAGUCCCUUUCAACUAUCUAAACUUGGGGAAUCUUUGUAAAACCUCAAAGAAUACUCAAUAAAUUCCAAGAAAUGGAAAUAAUAUAAGCAAUAUUCAUUUACCACAUGUAGUAAACUAGAAGCUAAACAAAACCAGAAAGAUACCAUAACUAGGAAAUACUAGAAACAUGUUAUGAAGCAACUCUUAUGUCAAAAGGGAAAUCCAAAAUCAAAAAAAUGCAAAUUUUUUUUUUAAGUCCACACCAACAACAUAUGGAAUUUCCUGGGCCAAUGAUGGAAUCUGAGCUGCUGUUGCAUUUGGAUUCUUAACCCACUGCCCCACAGUGAGAACUCUACAAAAACUUGGAAUUUUUUAACAGCAAGCUUGAAAAACAUGACAUGUCAGAAAACUAUGGAAUACAGCAAAAGCAUUUACCAGAGGAAAAAUCAAACGUUAAAUACAC